UUUGAUGGCGACCGGCGCACGGGUGAGUAACACGUAUCCAACCUGCCUAUGACUCGGGGAUAGCCUUUCGAAAGAAAGAUUAAUACCCGAUGGCAUAGUUCUUCCGCAUGGUGGAACUAUUAAAGAAUUUCGGUCAUCGAUGGGGAGUGCGUUCCAUUAGGUUGUUGGCGGGGUAACGGCCCACCAAGCCUUCGAUGGAUAGGGGUUCUGAGAGGAAGGUCCCCCACAUUGGAACUGAGACACGGUCCAAACUCCUACGGGAGGCAGCAUG
rnacentral:rRNA from 1 species